CAAAAUGGCGUAUACCAGACUAGCUAGCUAGCUAGCUAGCGAAACAGGUUGUUUGCCUCGGCGGACGUUUGAGCGGGACAGCAUGAAACACUCCCAAAUGAGCAAGAAAAUGUUUGCAGACUUCAUCUACAAGUCAAGAGCGCGUGCGCGCGCCCCAGGAGAGUAAAGGAUGCUGCAGGUUGCACGAACGCGGACGCGCGUCCCCGUGAGAGGUAAGCAGCCCUCGUCCCGAUGAUGAUGAAAAGCAAGCAAAUGAGCGAGGCAGGCUCAUCUUACCUGCA